GCGCCCGUAGCUCAAUGGUAGAGCAAAGUCCUGUUAAGUCUUGUGUUGAGGGUUCAAGUCCCUCCGGGCGCACCA
rnacentral:tRNA from 1 species